rnacentral:rRNA from 1 species
UACGAAGGGGGCGAGCGUUAUUCGGAAUCACUGGGCGUAAAGCGUGCGUAGGCUGUUUUGUAAGUCAGAAGUGAAAGCCCAGGGCUCAACCCUGGAAUUGCUUUUGAAACUACAAGACUCGAAUUCGGGAGAGGAUAGCGGAAUUGUCAGUGUAGCAGUGAAAUGCGUAGAUAUUGACAGGAACACCAGUGGCGCAAGCGGCUAUCUGGACCGACAUUGACGCUGAGGCACGAAAGCGUGGGGAG